UACGUAGGGUGCAAGCGUUAAUCGGAAUUACUGGGCGUAAAGCGUGCGCAGGCGGUGAUGUAAGACCGAUGUGAAAUCCCCGGGCUUAACCUGGGAACUGCAUUGGUGACUGCAUUGCUAGAGUAUGGCAGAGGGGGGUGGAAUUCCACGUGUAGCAGUGAAAUGCGUAGAGAUGUGGAGGAACACCGAUGGCGAAGGCAGCCCCCUGGGCCAAUACUGACGCUCAUGCACGAAAGCGUGGGGAGCAAACGAGGAUUAGAGUACCCGGG
rnacentral:rRNA from 1 species